rnacentral:rRNA from 1 species
GAUGAACGCUGGCGGCGUGCUUAACACAUGCAAGUCGAGCGAACAGACCAUGCUUUUGUGGCGUGCUCGAUUGGCGCACGGGUGAGUGACACGUGAGUAACAUGCACUUAUCUUUCGGGUAAAUUCAGGGAACACGGGCUCUUACCGGAUAUAAGCUCCUGAUCCAUAGUGGUGAAUGGAAAGAUACGGCGGUUGGGGCUGGACUCGCGGCUUAUCAGCUUGUUGGUGGGGUAGUGGCGUACCAAGGCUUUGACGGAUAGCCGGCCUGAGAGCUUGGACGGCGACAUUGGGACUACGGUACGGCGCAGACGCGUACGGGAGGCAGCAGGCGGGAACAUUGCACAACGGGCGGAAGCCUGAGGUAGCAACGUCGCGUGCGGGAUGACCUCUUUCGGGGUGUAAACCGCUUUCGCCGGAGACGAGGACGGAUUGACGGUAACUGGUAAAGAAGCACCGGCUAACUACGUG